CAGCAGCAGCCACGGUAAUACGAAGGGUGCAAGCGUUACUCGGAAUUACUGGGCGUAAAGCGUGCGUAGGUGGUGGUUUAAGUCCGUUGUGAAAGCCCUGGGCUCAACCUGGGAAUUGCAGUGGAUACUGGAUCACUAGAGUGUGGUAGAGGAUAGUGGAAUUUCCGGUGUAGCAGUGAAAUGCGUAGAGAUCGGAAGGAACAUCUGUGGCGAAGGCGACUAUCUGGGCCAACACUGACACUGAGGCACGAAAGCGUGGGGAGCAAACAGGAUUAGAUACCCCGGUAGUCCCUGUCUCUUAUAC
rnacentral:rRNA from 1 species